rnacentral:lncRNA from 1 species
AAUACGAGCAGGAUUUUUCAGCUCGUUUAAUAAACGAGCCGAAUAUGAGCUAGGGUCAGCUCGCUCGUGUUCGGCUCGAUAACAGCUCGAAUACAUAUAUUUUAUAUUUAUAUAAUUUAUUUAAUUUAUAUUUUUAUAUAUAAAUAAAUAAUUAUAUAUAAUAUAUAUUUUUAUUAUUUAAGUUUUAACAAAAUAAAAAUAUAAAUACGAGCUUAAUUAUAAAAAGACUCAUUUAUAUGUAAAAUUUCAACUAUUAGAUAAAAGUCUAAUGGAUAAGGUUUUAUAAAUUUAUUUUUUAUAUAUAUUUAAUCUAAUCUUUUUUAAUUUAUUAUUCGUUGGCCAGCUCGUGUUCGGAGCCGAACACGAGCCGACCCCAGCUCGCUCGUGUUCGGCUCGUUUACACCCCUAAUCACAUGUAGAUUGGUUUGUGCAGCAUAGACUAACAUGUAAAAGGUACAAAAAGUAUUUUUCAUACUGAAAAUAGAAUUUUCAAUGUUUAAGUUUUGUUGGACUUUGCGGAG